rnacentral:rRNA from 1 species
AACAAACGCUGGCGGCGUGCCUAAUACAUGCAAGUCGAACGGGGAAAGGCUUCGGCCAAGUACCAGUGGCGCACGGGGUGAGUAAUACGUGGGUAAUUUUCCUAGAAGUGGGGGAUAACCAGUCGAAAGACUGGCUAAUACCGCAUAAGACCACGAAAUCUGCGGAUUUUGAGGUAAAAAGGUUUUUCGCUUCUAGAUAAAGCCCGCGUGAGAUUAGCUAGUUGGUGAGGUAAUGGCUCACCAAGGCGACGAUCUCUAACUGGUCUUAGAGGAUGAUCAGUCACACUGGAACUGAGACACGGUCCAGACUCCUACGGGAGGCAGCAGUAGGGAAUAUUGCACAAUGGAGGAAACUCUGAUGCAGCGACGCCGCGUGAGUGAUGAAGGACUCGGUUCGUAAAGCUCUGUCGCACGGGAAUAAGAAAGUGAAUGUACCGUGCAAGAAAGGAUCGGCUAACUUCGUGCCAGCAGCCGCGGUAAU